rnacentral:rRNA from 1 species
UGCAGUCGAGCGGAACGACACUAACAAUCCUUCGGGUGCGUUAAUGGGCGUCCAGCGGCGGACGGGUGAGUAAUGCCUACGAAAUUGCCUUGAUGUGGGGGAUAACCAUUGGAAACGAUGGCUAAUACCGCAUAAUGCCUACGGGCCAAAGAGGGGGAUCUUCGGACCUCUCGCGUCAAGAUGUGCCUAGGUGGGAUUAGCUAGUUGGUGAGGUAAUGGCUCACCAAGGCGACGAUCCCUAGCUGGUCUGAGAGGAUGAUCAGCCUCACUGGAACUGAGACACGGUCCAGACUCCUACGGGAGGCAACAUUGGGGAAUAUUGCACAAUGGGCGAAAGCCUGAUGCAGCCAUGCCGCGUGUAUGAAGAAGGCCUUCGGGUUGUAAAGUACUUUCAGUUGUGAGGAAGGGGGUGUCGUUAAUAGCGGCAUCUCUUGACGUUAACAACACAAGAAGCACCGGGUAACUCCGUGCCAGCAGCCGCGGUAAUACGGAGGGUGCGAGCGUUAAUCGGAAUUACUGGGCGUAAAGCGCAUGCAGGUGGUUCAUUAAAUCAGAUGUGAAAGCCCGGGGCUCAUCCUCUGAACUGCGUUUGAAACUGGUGAACUAGAGUACUGUAGAGGGGGGUAGAAUUUCAGGUGUAGCGGUGAAAUGCGUAGAGAUCUGAAGGAAUACCGGUGGCGAAUGCGGCCCCCUGGACAGAUACUGACACUCACAUGCGAAAGCGUGGGGAGCAAACACGAUUAGAUACCCUGGCUAGUCCAC